CGCAUCUGUGCAUGCAGCAUAUCAAUAAGCGGAGGAAAAGAAACGAACAAGGAUUCCCCUAGUAACGGCGAGUGAAGCGGGAAGAGCUCAAAUUUGAAAUCUUAAAGGGUUUCCCUUUACGAAUUGUAGUUUAAAGAAGUGUUUUCUGUUGAGGUUUUGGUAAAAGUUCUUUGGAAUAGGACAUCAUAGAGGGUGAGAAUCCCGUAUUUGACCUUUACUUUCAACUUUGUGAUACACUUUCAAAGAGUCGGAUUGUUUGGGAAUGCAGUCCAAAAUGGGUGGUAAAUUUCAUCUAAAGCUAAAUAUUGGCGAGAGACCGAUAGCGAACAAGUACCGUGAGGGAAAGAUGAAAAGAACUUUGAAAAGAGAGUUAAACAGUACGUGAAAUUGUCAAAAGGGAAGCGUUUGACACCAGUGUUGUUUUUCUGAAAAUCAAUUAAAGAACUGUUUAUGCUAAGCUGUUUAGACUUUAUCAGCUAACUGUUUAGUUUUGAGCUUUUCUUUAAUGCACUUUUCAGUUAACAAGUCAACAUCAAUUUCUUUUGCUGUAAAAAAGCUUGAGGAAGGUGGCUUGAGAUUCGUCUUAAGUGUUUAUAGCCUCUUGCCUAUGCAGUCGGAGAGAUUGAGGUCUGCAGCGUAGAUCCUUCGGGGCUAAAUGCAUUUGUGCUAAGUUAUAGCAUUUUAUAGACAACUUGUUGACUAUGAUUUGUCUUGUAGCUUACUCGCUUAUGUUAUUUUACCUACGCUUAGGAUGUUGAAUCUGUGCGAGACUAC
rnacentral:rRNA from 1 species